rnacentral:rRNA from 1 species
ACCCAAUAGAUACCCCGGUAGUCCACGCCCUAAACGAUGUCAACUGGUUGUUGGGGAAGGUAACUUCCUUAGUAACGAAAGCUAAACGCGUGAAAGUUGACCGCCUGGGGAGUACGGCCGCAAGGUUAAAACUCAAAGGAAUUGACGGGGACCCGCACAAGCGGUGGAUGAUGUGGAUUAAUUCGAUGCAAACGCGAAGAACCUUACCUACCCUUGACAUGUAGCGAACCCUGCUGAGAGGCGGGGGUGCCCGAAAGGGAGCGCUAACACAGGUGCUGCAUGGCUGUCGUCAGCUCGUGUCGUGAGAUGUUGGGUUAAGUCCCGCAACGAGCGCAACCCUUGUCACUAGUUGCUACGAAAGGGCACUCUAGUGAGACUGCCGGUGACAAACCGGAGGAAGGUGGGGAUGACGUCAAGUCCUCAUGGCCCUUAUGGGUAGGGCUUCACACGUCAUACAAUGGCGCAUACAGAGGGUUGCCAACCCGCGAGGGGGAGCCAAUCCCAGAAAGUGCGUCGUAGUCCGGAUUGUUCUCUGCAACUCGAGAGCAUG